rnacentral:tRNA from 1 species
GAGCUUGAACCUAAAAAGGAAAAGGUAUCUAGCUGAUAAUUAGACAAAUCGAGGUUCAAAUCCUCUCAAGCUCU